rnacentral:rRNA from 1 species
AGGUAAACGGGUGGCGUCAAGCUGCUUGCCCAGAGGAAACAGUCGGUCAGGAUGUUGUGUAUGCGCCUGGCGCAUCUAUCAGUCGGUGUUAGAUCGGGUAGUCCGCCGGGAAACGGUGGGCCCACCGCAAGGUUGGGAUUUGCGUUCCGCCUGACUGCCGGAGCAUGCUGCCUAUCUGAAGGACUGUCUGGCCGAUGCACUUCCUCUGUUAUGGUGAACACCACGACCGGUGGUACUGCCAGUCUGUUGUGGGGAAGUUGUAUCUAGUUGGCAUUUAUUGUCACCUCCCUGCAAUCACAGGCGAUGUCACUGUUCGGCGUUCGGGCGCUCGCGUCAGUUCGUGUUAUCGGGCAGUGCUCGUGAACGGGUCGGUUCGUCGGUUGUUGCAAUCGCCCCCGGAUGGCUUGGUGGGCCAUGAUGGUAAGAAUAACUGUGCAGGGCACCGGAGUUCUCGGUCUCUAAUCCGGCUCGCAUACACAAAGCAAGUGGUGUGGAGCGUUAUUGCGGCCUGCCUGUGGUUGGGUCUGUUUGUCGUGUCGCCUGCACAAAGUACCCCCGGC